CGCCCACAUGACUUCGGAACACCGGUUCCAGUACGAUCACCGACGUUAAGCAACGUCGAUCCUGGUCAACACCUAGAUGGGUGACCGUUUGGGAAUACCACGUGCUGUAAG
rnacentral:rRNA from 1 species